rnacentral:rRNA from 1 species
UACAGAGGUGGCAAGCGUUGUUCGGAAUUACUGGGCGUAAAGGGCGCGUAGGCGGUUCGUUAAGUCCUGUGUGAAAUCCCCCCGGCUCAACUGGGGAACUGCACAGGAAACUAGCGGGCUUGAGUUCGGGAGAGGGAAGCGGAAUUCCGGGUGUAGCGGUGAAAUGCGUAGAUAUCACUUGGAACGCCAAAGGUGAAAACAGUCUGCUGGGAAACUUGCUGACGCUGAGACACGAAAGCCAGGGGGAGCGAACGGG